GACGAACGCUGGCGGCAUGCCUAAUACAUGCAAGUCGAGCGAACAGAUGAAGUGCUUGCACUUCUGACGUUAGCGGCGAACGGGUGAGUAACACGUAAGGAAUCUACCUAUAAGCGGGGGAUAACAUUCGGAAACGAGUGCUAAUACCGCAUAAUAUCUUCUUCCGCUUGGAAGAAGAUUGAAAGACGGCUCUGCUGUCACUUAUAGAUGACCUUGCGGUGCAUUAGUUAGUUGGUGGGGUAACGGCCUACCAAGACGAUGAUGCAUAGCCGACCUGAGAGGGUGAUCGGCCACAUUGGGACUGAGACACGGCCCAAACUCCUACGGGAGGCAGCAGUAGGGAAUCUUCCGCAAUGGGCGAAAGCCUGACGGAGCAAUGCCGCGUGAGUGAAGAAGGCCUUCGGGUCGUAAAACUCUGUUAUAAGAGAAGAACAAAUUGUAGAGUAACUGCUACAGUCUUGACGGUAUCUUAUCAGAAAGCCACGGCUAACUACGUGCCAGCCGCCGCAGUAA
rnacentral:rRNA from 1 species